GUGAUAAGAAAUUGAUUCGGGCUCGGCCCGAUCCUCCCACCCUUUGUGUACCUACCUCUGUUGCUUUGGCGGGCCGCGGUCCUCCGCGGCCGCCCCCCUCCCCGGGGGGGUGGCCAGCGCCCGCCAGAGGACCAUCAAACUCCAGUCAGUAAACGAUGCAGUCUGAAAAACAUUUAAUAAACUAAAACUUUCAACAACGGAUCUCUUGGUUCUGGCAUCGAUGAAGAACGCAGCGAAAUGCGAUAAGUAAUGUGAAUUGCAGAAUUCAGUGAAUCAUCGAAUCUUUGAACGCACAUUGCGCCCUUUGGUAUUCCGAAGGGCAUGCCUGUUCGAGCGUCAUUACAACCCUCAAGCUCUGCUUGGUAUUGGGCACCGUCCUUUGCGGGCGCGCCUCAAAGACCUCGGCGGUGGCGUCUUGCCUCAAGCGUAGUAGAACAUACAUCUCGCUUCGGAGCGCAGGGCGUCGCCCGCCGGACGAACCUUCUGAACUUUUCUCAAGGUUGACCUCGGAUCAGGUAGGGAUACCCGCUGAACUUAAGCAUUAAAGG
rnacentral:rRNA from 1 species